GCGUGCAUAGCUCAGUUGGUAGAGCAGGUCACUUUUAAUGACUUGGUCGGAGGUUCGAGUCCUCCUGCACGCACCA
rnacentral:tRNA from 1 species